rnacentral:rRNA from 1 species
UACAAAGGUCUCAACCGUUGUUCGGAUUCAUUGGGCGUAAAGGGUGCGUAGGCGGCGGGGCAAGUCAGGUGUGAAAUCUCGGGGCUCAACCCCGAAACUGCACUUGAUACUGCCUUGCUCGAGUACUGGAGAGGAGACUGGAAUUUACGGUGUAGCAGUGAAAUGCGUAGAUAUCGUAAGGAAGACCAGUGGCGAAGGCGAGUCUCUGGACAGUUACUGACGCUGAGGCACGAAGGCCAGGGGAGCAAACGGG